rnacentral:rRNA from 1 species
UUGGGGGCUCUCCCAUAUGGUCGACCUGCAGGCGGCCGCGAAUUCACUAGUGAUUCGUAUUACCGCGGGUGCUGGCACGUAGUUAGCCGGUGCUUCUUUACCCAUUACCGUCACUCACGCUUCGUCACAGGCGAAAGCGGUUUACAACCCGAAGGCCGUCAUCCCGCACGCGGCGUUGCUGCAUCAGGCUUCCGCCCAUUGUGCAAUAUUCCCCACUGCUGCCUCCCGUAGGAGUCUGGGCCGUAUCUCAGUCCCAAUGUGGCCGGUCACCCUCUCAGGCCGGCUACCCGUCAAAGCCUUGGUAAGCCACUACCCCACCAACAAGCUGAUAAGCCGCGAGUCCAUCCCCAACCGCCGAAACUUUCCAACCCCCACCAUGCAGCAGGAGCUCCUAUCCGGUAUUAGCCCCAGUUUCCUGAAGUUAUCCC